AAGGAUGAGCUCGCGCACUAUUAGCUAGUUGGUGUGGUAACGGCGCACCAAGGCGAUGAUGGUUAGCUGGUCUGAGAGGAUGGUCAGCCACACUGGGACUGAGACACUGCCCAGACUCCUACGGGAGGCUGCAGUCGAGAAUCAUUCGCAAUGCGCGAAAGCGUGACGAUGCGACGCCGCGUGGAGGAUGAAGGCCUUCGGGUUGUAAACUCCUGUCACCAGGUAAUAAAGCACUGUUGAUUAAGAGUUGAUGGUGUUGAGCAACCUGGGGAGGAAGCCACGGCUAACUCCGUGCCAGCAGCCGCGGUAAUACGGGGGUG
rnacentral:rRNA from 1 species